ensembl:snRNA U6 U6 spliceosomal RNA
GUGCUGGCUUCAGCAGCACAUAUACUAAAAUUGGAAUGAUAAAGAGAUUAGCGUGGCCCCUGGGCAAGGAUGACACGCUUGAUUUGUUUUCAAGAGAAAUUCUG